ACCUUGUCGGAUAUGUUGCCUGGCUUCAACUUCAAAGAAAUGGGCAUAUAUACUGUGUGAUUUAUUGAAUACCCAUAUGGCUAACAAUUUAGAGGUUGGAAUUAUAUUCCACAAUUGACUGAUAAGAAGUGAAGUUGUGGUAUAGUGUUUGUUGGCCAUCAAUCAUUCUAAUGCUGACCUUCAUGUGGAAAAAGAUGCUGCGUCUCCAUAUUUAGAAGAAGAUUAAGGACAUUUCAAGCAUGAAAUCUUAACCUUGAAAUGACACUGCUUCCUGGGACAAUUCUCAAGUUGGAACAAGGGAAGAAGUUGUCACGAAGAAUGUCCCCACAGAGAUGAGAGAAUAGCUCCUAAUCCCUUGGGUGCAGGACCAUUUAGUUUUCACUAUAGGGAGAAUUCAGAUAAACUUUAAAAAAACUCAUUAAUUGGAUUUCAUGCUUGUUUCAUACUGUGUAUAAUAAUCUGGUGGCUGAAGAUAAAUUAUAUAGCAAAGAUA